CUACGGGCGGCUCCAGUGAGGAAUUUUGCGCAAUGGGGGGAACCCUGACGCAGCAACGCCGUGUGAGUGAAGAAGGCCUUUGGGUCGUAAAGCUCUGUCAACUGGGAAGAAGUUAGAAUGUUUUAAUAGAGCAUGCUAUUGACGGUACCAGUGGAGGAAGCGUCGGCUAACUCCGUGCCAGCAGCCGCGGUAACACGGGGGACGCAAGCGUUAUUCGGAAUUAUUGGGCGUAAAGGGCGCGUAGGCGGUCCUGUCGGUCAGGUGUGAAAGCCCGGGGCUCAACCCCGGACGUGCACUUGAAACAGCAGGACUUGAGUACGGGAGAGGAAAGCGGAAUUCCUGGUGUAGAGGUGAAAUUCGUAGAUAUCAGGAGGAACACCGAUGGCGAAGGCAGCUUUCUGGACCGAAACUGACGCUGAGGCGCGAAGGCGUGGGUAGCGAACGGGAUUAGAUACCCGCGUAGUC
rnacentral:rRNA from 1 species